UAUCUCUUAUUCUGCUUGCUGACAGCCUAAUAACGUGUCUAUUACAAAUCUGUCCACCUCUCUCUGUCCAUCACCAUUGGAACGAUCUCAGUCACCUCCAUCGCUCACCCAGAACUAUGGCAGCUAUCUCCAACUGGUUUCUGCACUGUCACCCUCGACACUUGCAAUCAUUCUCACAUCCUGACCAGAGUGUCACUGAGCGGCGGAGCAUAGCUACCAAUGACAAUUUUCCAUGGCUGCCCAUUUUGCUAGGAAUAAAAUGUAAAAAACAUUGUCGACCUAUGAGGUUCGAGCCUUUUUUCCCUUUUGCUCUGCAACCCUCACCCCAGAUCCCCUGUCUACCUUCCUCAUCCUUGUCACAUGGUCCUCUCUCAGUUCCUCAUAUACACCAACGGCUCUUUCCUGCCUCAGAGGCUUUGCACAACCUCCUCCCCCUUCCCUUUUCUCCUCUUCUAGCUAACACUUAGGAACUGGGCUCUGGCUUAAACACACACACAUCAGAUGUUGAGAAGGAGGCCAGCCAUCCCCUCUUUUCCUUCAUUUUCUUAUCAUCUCCUUUGUAGUCAUCAUUACAAUCCUACUUGCAGAUUCAUGUGUAUGUGUUUAGGACUGAGUGUAUCUAAUAUGCAACACACAUAUGCAGGUGUUCAUGGAGACCGGAAGAAGGUGUCAGAGCCUCUGGAACUGGAAGUACAGACAGAACUGGCGGUAUAGACAGUCGUGAACUGCCAUGUGGAACCUGACCAAGGACCAGCGUUCCAUCCUGGCACUACAUCAGGUGGCUCACAAGCACCCAUAUUGUUGACUUCAAAGGACCCAGCUCACACUUCUGGACUGGAGCAGAGCCCAGCUGAGAGAGCAAGCACAAGUAAUAUAUUGAAUCAAGGGCUUAGACCAUCCAGCAGAAGCAGCUGGGGAGUCUCGAUUGAAACCAUCAUAGUAGAGUUCCCAACCCAGAGUUCUGGGCAGAGACUUUUUUCCUCUAUGAAGGAACUUCCGGCUUCUCUUUCCUAACGCGGGCAUCUUUCUGCCUCGGGAUAAACGGCGGUAACCUCUGUUAGAAAUGGGUUACCAGCUGCUGUCAAGGAGGCCGUGCCUUUUAUCAUCCUUGGUUGUUUUUCUUACCCCUUCCUCACUGUUAUAGGGUUAGAGGCCCAGCCCACUCCAGGACAGGCAGUCUUGGAAGACACUUGAAAUAAACAAACCGGAGUCUGGGAGACAACUGUCUUCCUCCCUCCCAAAGUCUCUCCGCAUAAAAAGGAAACCGUGAGUGACAAUUUACUAGUAAAAUUUAUAUUACAGUUUUUAGGACUCAGGCUGUCUGUAUGCCUAGAAGUGUGAGCUCAAAAUGGACUAUAGAAUUCUGGAUGUUACACAAAGCCAGCAUUCCUCAGGGAAUCAGCUCUCAUCUGCCCAAAGGAAUCCUUUCUCUUAGCUCUGGCUGAAGAGACAUUUGACUGCCUGCUCACACUGGCCAUGAGACACCUCCUGUAACACAAGUAUGGGUUACAUAUUUCAAAGUCCACACCAGCAUUCUGGCCCUUCCCUCCCCACAGCUACUCAGCCUCCUUAUAAUCCACAGGAUUUGUCCAGCUCUUUUUCCUGUCUGUCUGUCUGUCUGUCUGUCUGCUCAAUUAUCUAUGUUCUGCUGUCACACUAUCUCCAUUAUUCUCGCCCAGUCUCCCACUUCCUUAGCCCUGGCCAUGUCUAGUUCGUUUUUCUCUCUACUCUGGAACCAUGCCUUCUCACCUAGGACAUUCAUGUAUCAAAUUUCUGUAGAGGACAGACAAGGUAAUUCAGUCAGUAAAGUGCUUGUUUCUCACAUACAAAGGCUAGAGUUCAAUUCCCAGAAGCCACAGGAAAAGACAGGUGUGGUGGUAUUGCCUUUGUAAUCCUGGCCCUGGGGAGACAGAGACAGGAGGUCCCUUGGAAUAGCCUAGCCUGGUAACCUAACCUAAUUGGUAAGUUCCUCACUGAUUGGCUAUGUCUCGAAGGUAGAUGGCACUUGAGGAAUGGCACUCCAGGCUGUCCUUUGGUCUCUACACUCACAUUUGGAUGUACACAGGUACACACAUACACAAUGCAUAUGCUGCGAUUUAGUUCAGUUGAUGGGGUGCUUGCUUAGCAUGUAUGAAGCCUGAGGAUUCUCAGCACCACAUACACAGCAUGGUGUACACCUUAAUCCCAGAAUUCAGGAGCCCAGGGCCUUAUUCAUGCAAAGUAAGGCAAAUGAGCCAUACUGCUAGCUUGAAUUUUCUUUUUUAUUCAUCUCUCUCUCUCUCUCUCUCUCUCUCUCUCUCUCUCUCUCUCUCUGUUAUUUACAUCUGACUACAGGUACUCUUUUAUUAUGUGUCCUGCUUUUAUGUGGGUCCUGGGGAUUCAAACUCAGACCCUCAUGCUUGUAUGACAAGCACUUUCCCUGUUGAGCCAUCUCUUGAUGAUGAUGAUGAUCUUUUUUUAUUAUUAUUGUUGUUGUUGUUGUUAUAUUUUUAUUCUUAAUGGAUGAGUGCUUUGCCUUCAUGCAUGUGUUAUUUUUGAAUCAGGGUCCUGGCUGACCUGAAACUUGAUAUGUAGACCAAGCUGGCCUUGAACUCACACAGAUCUGCCUGCCUCUGCCUUCCAAGUGCUGGCACUAGACGUGUGUGCCACCAUUCUGCACGAGGCACGUAGGUCCUUGUACUCACAGAAAGCACUAGGGAAACACUGGGUUGUACCUUCAAAGGGAGAUAUAUCAUGUCCUCUGCCCUAGAAGACUGGGAAUGGACGUGGGUAAAAGCCUAGUGACUCUUUCACCACCAACUCCAUGUAUAGCACUAUACGCCCCAAACCUUUGCCAUGAGCUUCUUUAUGUGGAAUCUGUUUCCUGUUAGCCUAUAGAUCCUGUCUUUUAUGGAAGAUGUUGCUCACACUUUGCAAUAGCUUAGAUGCAGUCCUGUCGUAAGCUUUGCUCUACAAAUGACACUGAGUUAUUUAUUAACAGGAAAAUUGUUGGGGUUUUUUUUGUUGUUGUUGUUAUUGUUGUUUGCACUGUGCUUAAAUAUACCUAAAAUAAAACUUCUCAGGGUCAGACUCUCAAAGUUUAAAUCAACACUGGCUACUGAUUUCUGUUGAAUUUCCUUCCUAUCUCAAAUGUAUGACACUCCGCUGGCCUUGGUGGUCACAGAGACCAACUCCCACUACCCCCCAACCCCUAUCCUUUCCUAUCCCCACCCCUACACAUCCCCAGUCUGUAUCCUUGUACACGUCAUGCACGCCUGAAGCUCGUAAAGGCCAAGAGAACUCAAGGUCCCCUGAAGAUAAAGUGACACGUAGAUCCUGGGAAUGGAAGCUGGGUCCUCUGCAAGAACAAGUGGUCUCUAGCACUGAGCCACCUCUCCAAUCUCAAUUAUUUUUUUACUCUUAAAAAAGGUUAUUGGAACUGGGUGCUGGUGGUGCAGGCCUUUGAUGCCAGCACUAGGGAAGCAAAGGCAGAUGGAUCUCUGUGUGUUUGAGGCCAGCCUGGUCUACGGAUUGAAUUCCAGAACCAGAGCUGCACAGAGAAACCCUGUCUCCAAAAAGAAAGGAAGGAAGGAAGGAAGGAAGGAAGGAAGGAAAAGAAAAGAAAGAUUAUUGGGAAAUCAAGGGAAUAAUAUGUAAUAAAGUCCAUUCAAAUAAGUGAGGAACAGCCAAGUAUGUAUAGUAAAAUAUUGUCGUGUGAAAAAUUUGGAAUGUGACCAGCUAGCCUGAACCAAACACAAGUUUAAUCCCUAGCACCAAGAAAAGAGAUUGUGGUAAUACACACCCGAGGGUAGGGAAUUCGUGACUGCAUAUGGAGCUUAGGGGAUGAAAGAGACAGGAUGUGUAUUAGUUACACUAGCCUGAAUGUUUAAAGCAUUUUUAUUAUAGAAGGUCGAAGGGCCCCCAGUGCCAU